rnacentral:RNase_P_RNA from 1 species
UGAACCAGACUGCCGCGGGGGGCCCCAAGAAAGGACGGAUUGUCUCCGGUCCAUGGGCCGCCGCCCGAGGAAAGUCCGGGCUCCGCAGGGCAUGAUGCCGGGUAACUCCCGGGCGGGAGGCGCGGAUCGGAGGGGGUGUAAACCUGGACAGGUGUAAACCUGUCACGAUAUCCCGUUUUUCGACAGACAGCGCAACAGAAAGUAUACCGUGAAGGAAAGGUCCCCCGCAGGGGUGAACCUUUCCCCGCAAGGGUGAAACGGCGGGGUAAGAGCCCACCGCGGGACCGGCAACGGUCCCGGCACGGCAAGCCUCAUCAGGAGCAAAAUCAAGCGGCGCUGCGGGGGUUUCUCCCCUGCGCCAACGGCCCGUUGGUUAAGCGCAGGUAGAUUGCAGGUAUCUUUUUUGCGAAAAAAAGGCAAGAUAGAUGGCAGUUUGACCAAAUUUCCCUCAGGGGAAUCCGGUCGUGGAGUUUCCGAAGGAAACUCCAACAGAAAAAUUGAGCCGUCAGGCGAAAUUUUUCUGACAGAACCCGGCUUAUGGUUCAUCGU